rnacentral:rRNA from 1 species
GACGAACGCUGGCGGCGCGCUUAACACAUGCAAGUCGAGCGAUAAAACUUUAACAGAGCCCUUCGGGGCGAAGACAAAGGGGAUUAGCGGAGGACGGGAGAGUAACACGUGAGUAACCUGACUUAGACAUAGGGAUAGCCUAGGGCAACCAGGAGCAAUACCAAAUAAAAUCAUAAUGACACAUGUCAUAACGAGCAAAACUCCGGUGGUCUAAGAUGGACGCGCGUCCGAUUAGCUAGUUGGUAGUGUAAAAGCCUACCAAGGCGACGAUGGGUAGCCGGGAGGGGAGGCUGACCGAUCACAUUGGAACUGAGGAACAGACCACUAUCGUACGGAAGGCAGCAGUGUGGAACAUUGCAGGAUGGAGGGAGAUCUGAUGCAGCGGCGUCGCGUGAACGAAGAAGGCUUUCGAGUCGUGAAGUUCUUUUAUAUGGGAAGAUAAUGACGGUACCAUAUGAAAAAGCCCCGGCUAACUACGUG